AUUGAAAGAUAAACACAAAAAGAGAAAAAAAGAGAAAAACCGCCAAAAGAAAUUCAAAUAUCCACCAGUUUAUUUUCUGUUCUUUGAUCGGAUUAACAAAAUUGUCUCUCUUUUAAUUGUUUACUAAACGUGUUUUAAUUAGUUUAAUUAAUUUUUUCUUCUUCAAUUAAAUUACCAGAUUGGUGUUUUACCCUUAGGUUACUUGGAUCUUUUCAUCUACCUUUGGUUUACCGAUUGUUUUGUCUCCAUUCUGUUUGGGUGGUUUGCCUAUUGUUACCAAGCGUUGGAAUAUAAUUUUCUUCAUUGUUUAUUAUUUGAUCUUUGAUUUUAAUCACUUUUCGUGCCAAUUAUAGUUUAAUAUUCCAAAUCUUGAUA